AGAGUGAAUCAGCAAAGUCCUCCAAACAGCCAAGAGCAAUAGAUGUCAGUGUCUCCUCUGGACUCUCCAGAAACACUUUCUUCAGCCUACCCUGCUUUUUCAGCUUCAGUUAAGAAACUACUUCAAAAGGUUUUGAAACCAGCUGUUGCACAGAAGUGUGGACCCCAAGAACCACAUCCCAAGCCACCAUGGCACAAGAGGCCAUGUACCAGCUGGACCUGGGCACUGACUGUCCCCUGUACUUGGCACUGGUGAAGCCACACCUUGAAUCCUGUGGUCAGUAUUGGCUCGACAAGGACACUGAGGUGCUGCAGCAUGUCCAGAGAAGGGCAGAGGAACUCCUGAAGGGUCUGGAGCAUAAAUUCUUGUGGGAGGAGCUGAGGGAGCUGAGA